UGAGCGCAGGUAGCUGCUCUGCACCUUGUCCAUAGCAGCCUGCAUAAACGACACUUCCUCCUGAAACACAUGACCGAAGAAGAGAAACCUCAGAUCUCCUCCCAUUCAGACCAGGACAUGAGUGUCUCGAAGUUAAUAUCUGAGUCUGAAGCUCUGACGACUCAUCUGGGAAGGUGGACAGACAGCUGGAGGGCCGCAGCCUGACACUGGCAGCUUCCGCUGGAUAGAGCGGGGGCCAGGCGGGUGGCAGGAGGUCCCAGGAACGGAUACUGCAGUGCAACAGCAACAUCAUUACAGCAAUAGCCUGGGCUGAGCCGAAAACCUGGAUUUUUUUGGCACACACAAAACCAACAGCUUAGGGACGGGAGUCCUGGACAAGCCGGCAGCACGAGAUAAACAAAGAGGGACUUCUCAGGUCCUGCAACUCUACAGCUCAUUACAUGCCCAGGGUGCAUAAAAAGGAGAGACAUUCGAUCAUGCAUACAAUAUGAAGUUGUCUGUGGGACUCUUAAAACUUGGGACCAGUUAAAGUGUGUUUCGUGAUGGUAGUUUGGCAUUGUCCAGUCUAACUUGUUCUGAGAGCGUCAGGCUAGAAAGGCUGUAGUACUCAUCUUAUAAGACACAAUGCAUGUGGUGCAAAGGAUACAGGAACUGGAUUCACCAAUAUGUGGGUUUGAUAGUGGGACUGGUUGAUUGGUAUAUUGGUUUCUAUAUUUUAUUUUUUUCUAGCAAACUGGAAAGACUUUUUAUGAGGAGUAGAUAACUUUCUGUCUUCUUUAUUGUUUAUGUAUUGGAAUGAUGUAGGCUGGUGUUAAUGAUUGCAUGUGCCAAGUGAAACAGUAAUAUUGGUUUGCUUGAUCAUUUAUUAUCAUUAUUAAAUUAUUUUUAUUGGAUUUUCAGAAUGUGUCUUUCAGUGCC